rnacentral:lncRNA from 1 species
CUUCAUCCGCAAAUCCACUUCAAUCAUCUACUUGAUCAAGCUGACAGUAUCACACGACCAGCAGCUUGAUUCCAUCUUAUCCUUUGUUUAUUUAUCUUGUUUUAUUAUCAUUAUCAUCAUCAUCUCAUUCGUUUUCAUAAUUGUUUCUGUUUGCAUUAUAAAACUCUAAAAACUCAUAAAAAUUAGUUCUCUUUGUUUUCAGGUUUAAACCUUGGUUCCACCAUUUUUAUCAAUUCGUGGGUUACCCCCCCUGUGCCUACAACAUUUUGGUAUCAGAGCUCAAGCUCCUGAAUCAGGUCAUUCUAUCCUUGCAUCAUUCAUUGCUUGCGUUUGUUUUUACAUUCAUAAACCGAAAAUCCAUAAAAACUGUCUUCUUGUUUCAAGUUUUGUGUCUUCAUAUUUUUCUGUUAUUGCCGGUCAUCAUUCCUAUAAACAAGAAAAGAAAAAGAAAGAAGAAGUUUUUAGGUAGUUUUAUCCACGAAAAUUCAAAAAAAAAAAAUUAGUCAUAGUGUUUGCAUUUAUUAGGUUCCAUAAAAGAAAACCCAUAAAAAAAAUCUGCAUUUAAGCUGUUUCCAUUUUCUUUGUGCAUUGCAUAUCAAGUCAAAAAAAAUCAUCCUAGUUAUUUUGUUAGACCAUAUUUGUUUCUUCAUUUCGUGCUUGCAUUAAAAAAAAUGGGGUUUUAAGAGCAUUGUUUUUAGUUUAUAUCAUUUGCAUAUUUAAUUGUUGCAUCUUAAGAAAAUUCAAAAAAAAAUAUCCUUGUUAAUUUGUUUUCAUAUUUAC